CGGGAAACCGGAGCUAAUACCGGAUAAUAUUCGAACCGCAUGGUUCGAUAGUGAAAGAUGGUUUUGCCAUCACUUAUAGAUGGACCCGCGCCGUAUUAGCUAGUUGGUAAGGUAACGGCUUACCAAGGCGACGAUACGGAGCCGACCUGAGAGGGUGAUCGGCCACACUGGAACUGAGACACGGUCCAGACUCCUACGGGAGGCAGCAGAA
rnacentral:rRNA from 1 species